rnacentral:rRNA from 1 species
AUUGAACGCUGGCGGCAUGCCUAACACAUGCAAGUCGAACGAGUGGCGGACGGGUGAGUCAUGUCUGGGAAACUGCCUGAUGGAGGGGGAUAACUCCUGGCAACGGUAGCUAAUACCGCAUAGCAUCGACUGUGCCCAGAUGGGAUUAGCUAGUAGGUGGGGUAAAGGCUCACCUAGGCGACGAUCCCUAGCUGGUCUGAGAGGAUGACCAGCCACACUGGAACUGAGACACGGUCCAGACUCCGACGGGAGGCAGCAGUGGGGAAUCUUGCACAAUGGGCGAAAGCCUGAUGCAGCCAUGCCGCGUGUAUGAAGAAGGCCGUCGGGUUGUAAAGUACUUUCAGCGGGGAGGCGGUACCCGCAGAAGAAGCACCGGCUAACUCCGUGCCAGCAGCCGCGGUAAUUC